CUGCAAAGACCAAAGUAUCACAGCUAUUUGCUUUAUUGUUUUAUUUGCACCAGGCCACUCCUGGCUUCUGGGGUGCUACAGAGUCCUCUUCCAGCAUAGAUUUGGCAAAAUUCCAUUCUGGAACCAUAUUGCAGUACCAGGAAACUCACAGACAUUACCAGUUCUGGGACCAGACCUCACCUCUGUUGUGUCUGCUCAUCUUUAAUGGACUUCUAGGUAAUGACGGAAUGGAGCUCAUAAAACGAUCUCAUGGUCCCUGAAGCAUCCUUCUCCUAUCCAUCUCCAUUCUCUUUCUCCAACUGAACCAUGCUCAAGGGAAAGCUCUCUGUGGAAGAAAGCAUACCACCCAGAAGAGGUUCCAGCAUUUAUUUAUAGUGUGGAACUGUGCUCAUCCAUUUCUUUGUGAUAUGUGUCACUCAUCCAACUACCUACAUCAUCAACUCCUUAAACAUAACUGUAUUAUUCAGUGUUUUGGGCAGUUUUGUCAAAAGUAUUUAUCAUUGUUAAAAAUAAAGUGAACCCAAAGGGCUUAAAAUCAUCAUACUACAGUAAUAUAAUGCAACCACGUCAAUGUUUAUAGCAGCUCCAUUCACAAGAGCUAAACUAUGGAACCAACCUAGGUAUCCUUCCAUAGAUGAAUGGACAAAAAAAAUGUGGUAUAUAUAUUUUUAAUGGAAUAUUACUCAGCUUUAAAGAAAAAUGAAAUUAUGGCAUUUACCAGUAAAUGGACGAAGUUGGAGAGUAUCAUGCUAAGUGAAAUAAGCCAAUCCCCCGAAAACAAAGGCUGAAUGUUUUCUCUAAUAUGUGGAUGCUAAUUCACAAAAAGUGUGGGGGGGGCACUAGAGAAGAAUAGAGUUACCUUAGAUUAGGUAGAGAAAAUGAAAGGAAGGAAGGGGAGGGGAUAUGGGAUUAGGAAAGAUAGUAGAACAAAACAGACAUUAUUACUUUGUGUAUAUAUAUGACUGCAUGACCAAUGUGAUUCUAUAACAUGUACACUCAGAAAAAUGAGAAAUUAUAUCCCAUCUAUGUAUGAUAUAUCAAAGUGCAUAAAUGUAUCCUACAUUUAUAACUAAUUAAAACAAAUAAAAAAUUAAAAAGGUAAAAAAAUAAAG